AAGUCGUAACAAGGUUUCCGUAGGUGAACCUGCGGAAGGAUCAUUAAAAGAAUCUGCCUCACCCACAGAUAUCUUAUCACGUGUGAACUGUCUAGCUUGUCAUCCGAGAUGGACACCUCAGAGAUCUCGGUCUUUGGGGGGUCUGUCUUGGGGGUCAGCUUAUGCUACUGAUUGUGCCCCGAGAAUCUUUAAAAGACUAUAAAACUUUUAGCAAUGGAUCUCUAGGCUCCU
rnacentral:misc_RNA from 1 species